GACGAACCGUGCGAACGUUGUUCGGAAUCACUGGGCAUAAAGGGCGCGUAGGCGGCUUAUCAAGUCAGGGGUGAAAUCCGGCAGCUCAACUGUCGAAGUGCCUUUGAUACUGAUGAGCUCGAGGGAGGUAGGGGUCUGUGGAACUUCCGGUGGAGCGGUGAAAUGCGUUGAUAUCGGAAGGAACGCCGGUGGCGAAAGCGACAGACUGGAUCUCUUCUGACGCUGAGGCGCGAAAGCCAGGGGAGCAAAC
rnacentral:rRNA from 1 species